rnacentral:rRNA from 1 species
GUGAAAAGAACCCCGGGAGGGGAGUGAAAGAGAACCUGAAACCUUAUGUUUACAAACAGUCGAAGUUUUUCGGAACGACGGCGUACUUUUUGUAGAACGGUCCGGCGAGUUGCAGUGACAUGCGAGGUUAAGGAGUACAGCUCCGGAGCCGAAGGGAAACCAAGUCUUAACUGGGCGUCUAGUAUGUUAAUGCAGACCCGAAACCGGGUGACCUAUCCAUGGGCAGGUUGAAGUUACCGUAAAAGGUAAUGGAGGACCGAACUCACAUCUGUUGAAAAAGGUGGAGAUGACCUGUGGAUAGCGGAGAAAUUCCAAUCGAACUCGGAGAUAGCUGGUUCUCCUCGAAAUAGCUUUAGGGCUAGCCUUGAGGUAAAGUCUAAUGGAGGUAAAGCACUGAUUGGACGCGGGUCCCCAAAAGGAUACCAACUUCUAUCAAACUCAGAAUGCCAUAUAGAUAUACUCAGGAGUCAGACUAUGUGAGAUAAGUUUCAUAGUCAAAAGGGAAAGAGCCCAGACCGACAGCUAAGGUCCCAAAGUGUGUGUUAAGUGGAAAAGGAUGUUAGGUUUCUAAGACAACUAGGAUGUUGGCUCAGAAGCAGCCACUCAUUUAAAGAGUGCGUAACAGCUCACUAGUCGAGAGGUCUAGCGCCGAAAAUGUCCGGGGCUAAAACACACCACCGAAGCUACGGAAUUACCUAUGGUAAUUGGUAGAGGAGCAUUCUGUAAGGAUGAAGCACAAUUGAAAGAGAGUGUGGACGAAACAGAAGAGAGAAUGCCGGAAUGAGUAGCGAGAUAUAUGUGAGAAUCAUAUAGGUCGAAUGUCUAAGGUUUCCUGGGUAAAGCUGAUCUGCUCAGGGUAAGUCGGGACCUAAGGUGAGGGCGAGAGCCGUAAUCGAUGGACAACAGGUAGAAAUUCCUGUACUACGUAUAAUCAGAACUGUGGGGACGCAGGAGGAUAGGAAAACCGGAGAAUGGAAAAAUCCGGCUAAGUACAAAGGUGUGAGUGAUAGGCAAAUCCGUCACUAUUAGCUGAAGUACGAAUGGGAGCGAAGAAAAGUAGCGAAGUUUCUGAAUCCACACUGUCAAGAAAAGCCGCUAUUGCGUUAUACGUACCCGUACCGCAAACCGACACAGGUAGACGAGGAGAAAAUCCACAGACCGACGGGAGAAGUGUUGUUAAGGAACUCGGCAAAAUGACCCCGUAACUUAGGGAUAAGGGGAGCCAACGCAAGUUGGUCACAGAAAAGAGGCUCAAGCGACUGUUUAGCAAAAACAUAGGUCUAUGCGAAACCGUAAGGUGAUGUAUAUGGGCUGACACCUGCCCGGUGCUGGAAGGUCAAAAGGAGAGGUUAGCGUAAGCGAAGCUUUGAAUUCAAGCCCCAGUAAACGGCGGCCGUAACUAUAACGGUCCUAAGGUAGCGAAAUUCCUUGUCAGGUAAGUUCUGACCCGCACGAAAGGUGUAACGAUUUGAGCACUGUCUCGACAACACGCCCGGUGAAAUUGAAGAACCAGUGAAGAUACUGGUUACCCGCAACAGGACGGAAAGACCCCAUGGAGCUUUACUGCAGCUUAAUAUUGGGAUUCGGUAUUGUAUGUACAGGAUAGGAGGGAGACUAAGAAGCUAGCACGCCAGUGUUGGUGGAGUCGAUGGUGGGAUACCUCUCUUAUAAUACUGAAUUUCUAACCUACUUCCGUGAUCCGGAAGAGGGACAUUGUUAGGCGGGCAGUUUGACUGGGGCGGUCGCCUCCGAAAGAGUAACGGAGGCGCUCCAAGGUCUUCUCAGAAUGAUUGGAAACCAUUCAAAGAGUGUAAAGGCAAAAGAAGGCUUGACUGCGAGAGUGACAACUCGAGCAGGUACGAAAGUAGGACUUAGUGAUCCGGUGGUAAAAAGUGGGAGUGCCAUCGCUUAACGGAUAAAAGCUACCCUGGGGAUAACAGGCUUAUCUCCCCC